UUAGAUAUCACGAAGAACUNCGAUUGCGAAGGCAGCUUGCUGGACUGUAACUGACGCUGAGGCACGAAAGCGUGGGGAUCAAACAGGAUUAGAUACCCUGGUAGNCCACGCCGUAAACGAUGAAUGCUAGCUGUUAGCGAUAUACUGUUAGCGGCACAGAGAAAUCGUUAAGCAUUCCACCUGGGGAGUACGCCGGCAACGGUGAAACUCAAAGGAAUUGACGGGGGCCCGCACAAGCGGAGGAACAUGUGGUUUAAUUCGAUGAUACGCGAGGAACCUUACCUGGGCUUAAAUUGCAGUGGAAUAACGUGGAAACAUGUUAGCCUUCGGGCCGCUGUGAAGGUGCUGCAUGGUUGUCGUCAGCUCGUGCCGUGAGGUGUCGGCUUAAGUGCCAUAACGAGCGCAACCCUCAUCGAUAGUUACUAACAGGUUAAGCUGAGGACUCUAUCGAGACUGCCGACGUAAGUCGUGAGGAAGGUGGGGAUGACGUCAAAUCAGCACGGCCCUUACGUCCAGGGCUACACACGUGUUACAAUGGGGGGUACAAAGGGCAGCUACCUGGCGACAGGAUGCUAAUCUCAAAAACCUCUCUCAGUUCGGAUUGGAGUCUGCAACCCGACUCCAUGAAGCUGGAUUCGCUAGUAAUCGCGCAUCAGCCACGGCGCGGUGAAUACGUUCCCGGGCCUUGUACACACCGCCCGUCAAGCCAUGGGAGCCGGGGGGACCUGAAGUAUGCAACCGUAAGGAGCGUCCUAGGGUAAAACUGGUGACUGGGGCU
rnacentral:rRNA from 1 species